UACGUAGGGUGCGAGCGUUAAUCGGAAUUACUGGGCGUAAAGUGUGCGCAGGCGGCCGAGCAAGUCGAGUGUGAAAGACCCGAGCUUAACUUGGGAAUUGCGCUCGAAACUACUUGGCUGGAGUGUGGCAGAGGAAGGUGGAAUUCCAGGUGUAGCGGUGAAAUGCGUAGAGAUCUGGAGGAACACCGAUGGCGAAGGCAGCCUUCUGGGCCAACACUGACGCUCAUGCACGGAAGCGUGGGGAGCAAACAGG
rnacentral:rRNA from 1 species